rnacentral:rRNA from 1 species
UGAGGAAUAUUGGUCAAUGGGCGCAAGCCUGAACCAGCCAUCCCGCGUGCAGGAAGACGGCCUUAUGGGUUGUAAACUGCUUUUCCAGGGGGAGAAUUUUUCUGUCGUGACAGGAAUUGACGGUACCCUGGGAAUAAGCAUCGGCUAACUCCGUGCCAGCAGCCGCGGUAAUACGGAGGAUGCGAGCGUUAUCCGGAUUUAUUGGGUUUAAAGGGUGCGUAGGCGGAUUGAUAAGUCAGUGGUGAAAACCAGCAGCUUAACUGUAGACUUGCCGUUGAUACUGUCAGUCUUGAGUGUGGUCAAGGUAGGCGGAAUGUGUAAUGUAGCGGUGAAAUGCUUAGAUAUUACACAGAACACCGAUUGCGAAGGCAGCUUACUGGGCCAUUACUGACGCUGAUGCACGAAAGCGUGGGGA